GAUGAACGCUGGCGGCGUGCCUAAUACAUGCAAGUCGAGCGAACAGACGAGGAGCUUGCUCCUCUGACGUUAGCGGUGGACGGGUGAGUAACACGUGGAUAACCUACCUAUAAGACUGGGAUAACUUCGGGAAACCGGAGCUAAUACCGGAUAAUAUAUUGAACCGCAUGGUUCAAUAGUGAAAGACGGUUUUGCUGUCACUUAUAGAUGGAUCCGCGCCGCAUUAGCUAGUUGGUAGGGUAACAGCUUACCAAGGCGACGAUGCGUAGCCGACCUGAGAGGGUGAUCGGCCACACUGGAACUGAGACACGGUCCAGACUCCUACGGGAGGCAGCAGUAGGGAAUCUUCCGCAAUGGGCGAAAGCCUGACGGAGCAACGCCGCGUGAGUGAUGAAGGUCUUCGGAUCGUAAAACUCUGUUAUUAGGGAAGAACAAAUGUGUAAGUAACUAUGCACGUCUUAACGGUACCUAAUCAGAAAGCCACGGCUAACUACGUG
rnacentral:rRNA from 1 species